AGUGAACGCUGGCGGUAGGCCUAACACAUGCAAGUCGAACGGCAGCACAGUAAGAGCUUGCUCUUACGGGUGGCGAGUGGCGUACGGGUGAGGAAUACAUCGGAAUCUACUUUUUCGUGGGGGAUAACGUAGGGAAACUUACGCUAAUACCGCAUACGACCUACGGGUGAAAGCAUGGGAUCUUCGGACCUUGCGCGAUCUAAUGAUCCGAUGGCGUAUUCGCUAGUUGGCUGGGUAAAGGCCCACCAAGGCGACGAUCCGUAUCUGGUCUGAGAGGAUGAUCAGCCACACUGGAACUGAGACACGGUCCAGCCUACUACGGGAGGCAGCAGUGGGGAAUAUUGGACAAUGGGCGAAAGCCUGAUCCAGCCAUACCGUGUGGGUGAAGAAGGCCUUCGGGUUGUAAAGACCUUUUGUUGGGAAAGAAAAGCAGCAGGUUAAUACCACGCUGUUCUGACGGUACCCAAAGAAUAAGCACCGGCUAACUUCGUG
rnacentral:rRNA from 1 species